GGGGAAUUUUGGACAAUGGGCGCAAGCCUGAUCCAGCCAUGCCGCGUGUAUGAAGAAGGCCUUAGGGUUGUAAAGUACUUUUGUCAGGGAAGAAAAGGGCAUUGCUAAUACCGAUGUCUCAUGACGGUACCUGAAGAAUAAGCACCGGCUAACUACGUGCCAGCAGCCGCGGUAAUACGUAGGGUGCGAGCGUUAAUCGGAAUUACUGGGCGUAAAGCGAGCGCAGACGGUUAUUUAAGUCAGAUGUGAAAUCCCCGAGCUCAACUUGGGACGUGCAUUUGAAACUGGGUAGCUAGAGUGUGUCAGAGGGGGGUAGAAUUCCACGUGUAGCAGUGAAAUGCGUAGAGAUGUGGAGGAAUACCGAUGGCGAAGGCAGCUCCCUGGGAUAACACUGACGUUCAUGCUCGAAAGCGUGGGUAGCAAAC
rnacentral:rRNA from 1 species